rnacentral:rRNA from 1 species
UGGGGAAUAUUGGACAAUGGGCGCAAGCCUGAUCCAGCAAUGCCGCGUGUGUGAAGAAGGCCUUCGGGUUGUAAAGCACUUUUAUCAGGAGCGAAACGCUGUCGGCUAAUACCCGGCGGAACUGGCGGUACCUGAGGAAUAAGCACCGGCUAACUUCGUGCCAGCAGCCGCGGUAAUACGAAGGGUGCAAGCGUUAAUCGGAAUUACUGGGCGUAAAGCGUGCGCAGGCGGUUUCUUAAGUCUGCUGUGAAAUCCCCGGGCUCAACCUGGGAAUGGCAGUGGAUACUGGGAGGCUAGAGUGUGUCAGAGGGUGGUGGAAUUCCCGGUGUAGCGGUGAAAUGCGUAGAGAUCGGGAGGAACAUCAGUGGCGAAGGCGGCCACCUGGGACAACACUGACGCUGAGGCACGAAAGCGUGGGGAGCAAACAGGAUUAGAUACCCUGGUAGUCCACGCCCUAAAGCGAUGCGAACUGGAUGUUGGUCUCAACUCGGAGAUCAGUGUCGAAGCUAACGCGUUAAGUUCGCCGCCUGGGGAGUACGGUCGCAAGACU